rnacentral:lncRNA from 7 species
AUGUGUCUCUUUGCUCAGCUCCCUGCUGGCCCCGGAGGAGUCCGAGUGCUCUGUGCUGGAAGAAGAGGAGUCGAGGCUGCUGGAGACAUCAGGGCUCAGUGGCUCGUGGCAGUGAUGCGCUGCAUCAGCUCUUGCGUUUGGCAGCUGUUUGCAGUGGCUUUGGUCCCCUCUCUUGUGACACCGGGCAGGUCCUGCUUGUGCUGGGGGACCUCCAGAGCACUCUCCAGAGCCGCUUCUGAAAAAGCAAGAACAUCCCCCCGAACGAUGAUGGCAGCCUUCCCACAGCCACUCGGUGCAGGCAGCCACCUCUGGGGGUCACCUCUGCGGAGCACAGUCUCACCGUCAAUCCAGCAGCUCUGCUGCCCCUCCGAGAGAGACUCACCGUUGUUGAUCCACGUGAGCAGGUCAUCGAUGUCUGCGUCGUCGUACAGGAUGCCUGUCUUGGAUGUCACUUCUGGAAAAGGCAGAAAAUGCCCAGUGGGGCAAUGCCAGCUUUCUUUCCCACACCCAGUGUGGGUGGUGGGUGGGUGGGUGCCAGCAACCCCCCGCCAGCUCUGCUGCCCCCAAACUCACCGUCGUUGAGCCAUGCCAGGAGAUGCUGGAUGUCCGCCACGUCCUCCGGGAUGUCUGCGCUCGCUGUGGCUGCUGGAAAAGCAAGGACAUCCCCAGUGGGGCAAUGCCAGCUUUCCCACAGCCACCCGGUGCGGACAGCCUGCCGCACGCCCCGCAGCCCCCAAACUCACCCCCUGAGUCCAGCGCUGCGGUGCUGCAGCCGAGCGGAGCCGUGGCGGGAUGGGGGCACCCGUCGGUGGGCGCUGGGUGCCCCUGGUCCUCCGUGAGCACCACGGCGUCCUGAAAGGGCUCCAUCGGCGACUCCCAGGUGGCGGGCAGGGUGCAGGGCACGGGGAGCACCUGCUCCUGCAGUGGUGGUACCUGCAAAAGAACUGGCGGGGGGCCGGGGCGGCCGGGGGCCUGCGGCAGGCAGGUGCCUGCGGGCUGCGGGGGCUCCCCGUGGAACACGGCCCCAGGCCACAGCCCCAUCGGCUGCUGGGGCAGCAGCGUCCCUGCCAGCAGGGGAUGUCCCCAGCAGUGAGCAGGGGCAGUGGGGGGAGCCAUAGCUGGGUGCAGCCCCCCAGGUAGCAGCUGCAGCAGCGGUAAGUGCAGCCCCAGAGUUGGGGGCAGGCCCCCAGGUGGCAGUUGAGCCCCAGUUGGGGGCAGCCCCCCAGGGGGGAGCUGCGCUGCCUGUCCCCAGACACCUGGUACCCCAGGCCAGACAGAGGCCUGAGGCGCCAGGUAGGUGGCAGUGGGGACAGGGAGGGCUUGGGGUGGUACCGGCAUCGGUCCGCGGAUGGUGGGCUGCAUCCAGGCGGGGUCCGGUGGCGGCACAGUCGCUUCAGGGAAAAUGGCGUCGGGUGUCAGAGGCACCGUCAGCGCUCCUCGAGGGAUUCUCUCUGUGGGGAAAGGCCAAAGUAGGCUCUGGGGUGGGCUCUGGGGUGAGCUCUGGGGCGCUGGGGUGGGAUCUGGGGCACAGGGCUGAGAUCGGGCUUACAGGGCUGGGAUCUGGGGCGCUGGGUGAGAUCUGGGACGUGGGGGUCGGGGGUAUCGGGGUUACAGGGGUGAUCGGGGUGGGGUGAGAUCUGGGGCACAGGGGUGGGAUCUGGAGCGCUGGGGCCAGCUGAAGCAUGGGAGCAGGGGAAGCCUGCUGCCUUACCUGCCAUGACAGCUGGAGAGUGGCAGUUAGGGGAGCCCCUCCCCCCAGGGGGGUUGCGUGACCGUUGGGGUCAGCCCCUUUCCCCCAGGCUUGAGAUGGUUGCAGUUUUUGUCGCCACAAAGACCUUCAAGACCCUCAAGUCUAAGCACAACCUAACCAUACCAGCCUAACUCUAACAAGCCCCUGCUCAAUCAUGUCCCCGAGCACCACCUGGUUUUCAACACAUUCAGGGAUGGUGACUGAACCAGCUCCCUGGGUGGAAUAGGGAGCCCAUCAGGUCUCCCCUCAGCCUCCUUUUCCCCACACUAAACAGCCCCAGUUCCUUCAGUCACUCCUCAGAGGGCAUAUUGGCCAAGGCCUUCCCCAGCCUUGUUGCCCUUCUUUCAACCUGCUUCAGCACCUCAACGGCCCUUCUGUGCUGAGGUGCCCAAAACUGAACACUGGACUCGAGGUGAGGCCUCGCCAGUGCCGAGUCCAGGGGCAGGAUGACUUCCCUAGUCCUGCUCACCACACCAUUCCUGAGCCAGGAAUGGUGUUAUGCCAUUGGCCUUCUUGGCCACCUGGGCACACUGCUGGCUCAUCUUCAGCCACCUGUCCGUCAGCACACCAAGGUCCCUUUCAGGGUCAGGCAGCUUUCCAGCCACUCCUCCCCAAGGAGGACUGGGGGGACGCCUGGGCUUGUUGUGACCAAAAUGCAGGACCCGACACUCGGCCCCAUUGAAACUCAUCCAGUUAAGCUGGCAGAGUGAAGAGAGAACAAAAACCAAGCAGGCAAAGAGCAGAGCUGUCCACAGGGGGCAGGGCUUGGGGCAGGGCCUGUGCCGGAGGGUGGUCCAGCACAGUGGUGGCCUCGGGGCCCAGGCUGGAGGGGGCCUGGCACAGUUGAGGCCUGGUGUGGGCCCAGAAGGAAGGGGGCCCAGGCACAGGUAGAGCCUCGGGGCCCAGGCUGGAGGAGAACCAGGCUCAGUUGGGGCUGUGUUGGGGGCCCAGGAUGGAGGAGGACCAGGUGCAGUUGGGGCUGCACUGGGGGGCCGAGCUGGAGAGGGCCUAGCACAGUUGAGGCCUCCUCUGGGCCCCGACCAAAAGGGCCCAGGCACAGCCAGGGCCUUGGGGCCCGGGAUGAAGCAGGACCAAGGCACAGUUGGGGCUGCUUUGGGGCCUGGGCUGGAGGGGGGCCUGGCACAGUUGAGGCCUGCUCUUGGCCCAGACCAAAGGGAGCCCCGGCACAGCCAGGCCUUGGGCCAGGAUGAAGCAGGACCAGGCACAGUUGGGGCUGCUUUGGGGCCCAGGAUGGAGGAGGGGGCAGUGGGCUGCUGGGGCCGGUGGAGGGCCAGGCACAGUUGGGGCUCUUUGGGGCCCAGGAUGGAGGAGGACCAGGCCAGUUGGGCUGCUUUGGGCCAGGAUGGAGGAGGACCAGGCACAGUUGGGGCUGCUUUGGGGCCCAGGAUGGAGGGCCAGGCACAGUUGGGCCUUGGGCCCAGACAAAGGGCCAGGACAGCUGGGCUUU